UUGGCUCCAUCCACACUGUUCACCAAUCCGUAUCAUAACCAUCCAACGGCGCAAAAUCUUAGAAGGUGAUUGCAGCGUUGCACCCGAACGUACCAGAAAGCUACCUGUCUCCCUUAUCCUGCGCACACCGCCCCUGCCACUGUAACCACAAUGGCCGAAGAGCCCGAAACUAACCCACCACCGCCGGACCCUCCAAUUCCCUCUGCACCGGAGGUUGAGGCGGAAACGGCUCCGCCGGCUGCAGCAACUGCAUCGCAGCCGAGCAUCGAGAUCGCCGCUCCUCCGGCGUUAGCUCCGAAGCGGCAACGCCGUCCGAGCGUCCGUCUAGGAGAGAUCGGCGACCAACGUGCCGCCUUACAUGGCCACGACUCGCAUACGCGCCGUCCGAGCAUGCCGCCAUGGAGCUGGCGGACUCCGAAGGAAUCUUCAAGAACUUCGAAGGCGCGUUCCGUCACGAACCUCGCGAACGGCGGCGAAGAGUUCGGAAGCACCAACAACCGUAGGGGAAAGGCGAAGCGAGGAGGACCAACGGCGAAGCGGUUGAGAUCAAACUGGACUCCGCGAGCAACGAUGGACGAAAAUGGUGAGGAAGAAGGUUUUAGGGAUUUCGAACAUGAUCUUGAACAGGAUCAGAGUCCGGUGCACUCGGUGGAAGAUAACGGUGUGGAUUAUUGGCACGUGGAUCGGAGCGAGGAUCCUAGAGUUAGGGUUUCGGAUAACGACGGCGUUGAAUCGGAAUCGCGGGAACGGAGGAAGAGCGACGGAGUUAGGUCCUGGCUUUUCGAGUUAGGUCUUAGUAGGUAUGCGCCUAUGUUUGAGAUCCAUGAGGUCGAUGAUGAGUUGCUUCCUAUGUUGACAUUGGAGGAUCUCAAAGAUAUGGGGAUCAACGCUGUCGGGUCCAGAAGGAAAAUGUACAAUGCAAUCCAGAAGCUGAGGAAGUGCUUUCCGUGAUCGUGGUGUAAUGGGAUCAAGAUGAGUUAAUAGGUUCCUCUUGAAUUCCAUUUGCUUGCGUGGUACCCUGUCUCUAAUAUCCUUUAAGUCACAACCACUCUUGCGAGAAUGGAAGGUUUUCUUCCUCCUUCAGCGGUGGGCGGUGUGCGACGGUGCGGCGGUGUUGCAGUGGUGCGACGGUGAAGUGUGGUGGUGCUUUCUCCCACAAG